rnacentral:sRNA from 2 species
AUAUCUCUCUGUACGGGAAGGAUGAGAAGCUUCGACUAAGGUUCGAUUCGAGCGCAGCGAGAAAGCGUUGCCGCAGGCAACGACCCGAAGGGCGAAGCGCGCAGCGCUGAGUAAUCCUUCCCCCA